UAAGUAGAUAGUGAAAUCUGGUGGCUCAACCAUCAAUACAUUGUUCGAACUGCUGGUCUCGAGAAUGGUAGAGGUAGCUGGAAUUUCUUGUGUAGGAGUGAAAUCCGUAGAUAUAAGAAGGAACACCAAUGGCGUAGGCAGGCUACUGGACCAUUUCUGACGCUGAGGCACGAAAGCGUGGGGAGCGAACCGGAUUAGAUACCCGGGUAGUCCACGCCGUAAACGAUGGAUACUA
rnacentral:rRNA from 1 species